UCCGUCGUGAAGAGGGAAACAACCCAGACCGCCAGCUAAGGUCCCAAAGUCAUGGUUAAGUGGGAAACGAUGUGGGAAGGCCCAGACAGCCAGGAUGUUGGCUUAGAAGCAGCCAUCAUUUAAAGAAAGCGUAAUAGCUCACUGGUCGAGUCGGCCUGCGCGGAAGAUGUAACGGGGCUAAACCAUGCACCGAAGCUGCGGCAGCGACGCUGAUGCGUUGUUGGGUAGGGGAGCGUUCUGUAAGCCUGCGAAGGUGACCUGUGAGGGUUGCUGGAGGUAUCAGAAGUGCGAAUGCUGACAUAAGUAACGAUAAAGCGGGUGAAAAGCCCGCUCGCCGGAAGACCAAGGGUUCCUGUCCAACGUUAAUCGGGGCAGGGUGAGUCGACCCCUAAGGCGAGGCCGAAAGGCGUAGUCGAUGGGAAACGGGUUAAUAUUCCCGUACUUGGUGUUACUGCGAAGGGGGGACGGAGAAGGCUAUGUUGGCCGGGCGACGGUUGUCCCGGUUUAAGCGUGUAGGUGUGUGUUCCAGGUAAAUCCGGUUCACUUUAACACUGAGGCGUGACGACGAGGCACUACGGUGCUGAAGCAACAAAUGCCCUGCUUCCAGGAAAAGCCUCUAAGCAUCAGGUAACAUCAAAUCGUACCCCAAACCGACACAGGUGGUCAGGUAGAGAAUACCAAGGCGCUUGAGAGAACUCGGGUGAAGGAACUAGGCAAAAUGGUGCCGUAACUUCGGGAGAAGGCACGCUGACACGUAGGUGAAGUGAUUUACUCAUGGAGCUGAAGUCAGUCGAAGAUACCAGCUGGCUGCAACUGUUUAUUAAAAACACAGCACUGUGCAAACACGAAAGUGGACGUAUACGGUGUGACGCCUGCCCGGUGCCGGAAGGUUAAUUGAUGGGGUCAGCGCAAGCGAAGCUCCUGAUCGAAGCCCCGGUAAACGGCGGCCGUAACUAUAACGGUCCUAAGGUAGCGAAAUUCCUUGUCGGGUAAGUUCCGACCUGCACGAAUGGCGUAAUGA
rnacentral:rRNA from 1 species